rnacentral:rRNA from 1 species
CAACCCUGAUCCAGCCAUGCCGCGUGCGGGAAGAAGGCCUUCGGGUUGUAAACCGCUUUUGUCAGGGAAGAAACGCGCUGGGCUAAUACCUCGGCGUAAUGACGGUACCUGAAGAAUAAGCACCGGCUAACUACGUGCCAGCAGCCGCGGUAAUACGUAGGGUGCAAGCGUUAAUCGGAAUUACUGGGCGUAAAGCGUGCGCAGGCGGCUUUGCAAGACAGAUGUGAAAUCCCCGGGCUUAACCUGGGAACUGCAUUUGUGACUGCAUGGCUGGAGUGCGGCAGAGGGGGAUGGAAUUCCGCGUGUAGCAGUGAAAUGCGUAGAUAUGCGGAGGAACACCGAUGGCGAAGGCAAUCCCCUGGGCCUGCACUGACGCUCAUGCACGAAAGCGUGGGGAGCAAACAGGAUUAGAUACCCUGGUAGUCCACGCCCUAAACGAUGUCAACUGGUUGUUGGACGGCUUGCUGUUCAGUAACGAAGC